rnacentral:rRNA from 1 species
ACCUGGUAGUCACGCUGUAAACGAUGUCGAUUUGGAGGUUGUUCCCUUGAGGAGUGGCUUCCGGAGCUAACGCGUUAAAUCGACCGCUGGGGAGUACGGCCGCAAGGUUAAAACUCAAAUGAAUUGACGGGGGCCCGCACAAGCGGUGGAGCAUGUGGUUUAAUUCGAUGCAACGCGAAGAACCUUACCUACUCUUGACAUCCAGAGAAUUUAGCAGAGAUGCUUUAGUGCCUUCGGGAACUCUGAGACAGGUGCUGCAUGGCUGUCGUCAGCUCGUGUUGUGAAAUGUUGGGUUAAGUCCCGCAACGAGCGCAACCCUUAUCCUUUGUUGCCAGCACAUUAUGGUGGGAACUCAAAGGAGACUGCCGGUGAUAAACCGGAGGAAGGUGGGGAUGACGUCAAGUCAUCAUGGCCCUUACGAGUAGGGCUACACACGUGCUACAAUGGCGUAUACAAAGAGAAGCGACCUCGCGAGAGCAAGCGGAACUCAUAAAGUACGUCGUAGUCCGGAUUGGAGUCUGCAACUCGACUCCAUGAAGUCGGAAUCGCUAGUAAUCGUAGAUCAGAAUGCUACGGUGAAUACGUUCCCGGGCCUUGUACACACCGCCCGUCACACCAUGGGAGUGGGUUGCAAAAGAAGUAGGUAGCUUAACCUUCGGGAGGGCGCUUACCACUUUGUGAUUCAUGACUGGGGUGAAGUCGUAACAAGGUAACCA